UUCUAAACUGCUAUGGUAAUUAAUAUGAACAAAAUGAAGAUCCCUUCACUCUGUGUCACAGCCGAGGAAUUUCAUUUCUAGCCGUAUUCGCCACCAUAUCGUCAUCGGAAAUUGAGUUUCACUGUGAUUUUGACACAUCCUGGUGUGGCUUUGAGAACAGCUACCAUGAUCAGUUCAACUGGGUGAGAACAACGGGCGUGACCCCGACCAAUCAGACUGGACCUGAUGCUGACCAUACGUCUGGGAAAGGCAUGUACGCGCACAUAGAAGCCUCGCCUCCACGGGUCACAGGGGACGACGCCAGCCUGGCCAAAACACUGGGGAACUCCACAGAGAAACGCUGCCUCUCCUUCUGGUAUCACAUGUAUGGCCGUACCCUGGGGAGUCUUAACGUGAGGACGACGGCGGGGAGGCUGUUUUGGGGUAAAACAGGUGACCAAGGAAACCUGUGGCACGAAGAAGUUCUAGAUUUGCCAGCAGGGAGCUAUAGCGUCAUCUUCAAGGCAGUGCGUGGGGGCGGCGCUUGGGGAGAUAUCGCCAUAGAUGACGUCACGAUUGUGACAGGCUCU